rnacentral:ncRNA from 1 species
GGAAGCCGGUGAGAGCCCGGCGCGGUCGCGCCACUGUAACCGGACUCAUCGCCGCCGAACGGCGGUGCGUCCAGGAGCCAGAC